AGUGGCGGACGGGUGAGUAACGCGUAAGAAUCUAACUUCAGGACGGGGACAACAGUUGGAAACGACCGCUAAUACCCGAUGUGCCGCGAGGUGAAACCUAAUUGGCCUGAAGAAGAGCUUGCGUCUGAUUAGCUAGUUGGUGGGGUAAAAGCCUACCAAGGCGACGAUCAGUAGCUGGUCUGAGAGGAUGAGCAGCCACACUGGGACUGAGACACGGCCCAGACUCCUACGGGAGGCAGCAGUGGGGAAUUUUCCGCAAUGGGCGAAAGCCUGACGGAGCAACGCCGCGUGAGGGAGGAAGGUCUUUGGAUUGUAAACCUCUUUUCUCAAGGAAGAAGUUCUGACGGUACUUGAGGAAUCAGCCUCGGCUAACUCCGUGCCAGCAGCCGCGGUAAUACGGGGGAGGCAAGCGUUAUCCGGAAUUAUUGGGCGUAAAGCGUCCGCAGGUGGUCAGCCAAGUCUGCCGUCAAAUCAGGUUGCUUAACGACCUAAAGGCGGUGGAAACUGGCAGACUAGAGAGCAGUAGGGGUAGCAGGAAUUCCCAGUGUAGCGGUGAAAUGCGUAGAGAUUGGGAAGAACAUCGGUGGCGAAAGCGUGCUACUGGGCUGUAUCUGACACUCAGGGACGAAAGCUAGGGGAGCGAAAGGGAUUAGAUACCCCUGUAGUCCUAGCCGUAAACGAUGGAUACUAGGCGUGGCUU
rnacentral:rRNA from 1 species